UAGUUCAGUCGGUUAGAAUACCUGCCUGUCACGCAGGGGGUCGCGGGUUCGAGUCCCG
rnacentral:tRNA from 1 species